UACGGAGGGUGCAAGCGUUAUCCGGAUUCACUGGGUUUAAAGGGUGCGUAGGUGGGCAGGUAAGUCCGUGGUGAAAUCUCUGGGCUUAACCCGGAAACUGCCGUUGAUACUAUCUGUCUUGAAUGUAGUGGAGGUGAGCGGAAUAUGUCAUGUAGCGGUGAAAUGCUUAGAUAUGACAUAGAACACCCAUUGCGAAGGCAGCUCGCUACACUAUUAUUGACACUGAGGCACGAAAGCGUGGGGAUCAAACAGG
rnacentral:rRNA from 1 species